GAUGAACGCUGGCGGCGUGCCUAAUACAUGCAAGUCGAGCGAACGGACGAGAAGUUUGCUUCUCUGACGUUAGCGGCGGACGGGUGAGUAACACGUGUAUAAUCUACCUAUAAUACUGGUAUAACUUCGGGAAACCGGAGCUAAUACCGUAUAAUAUUCUGAACCGCAUAGUUCAAAAGUGAAAGACGGCCUUGCUGUCUCUUAUAGAUGCAUCCGCGCUUCAUUAGCGAGUUGGUAGGUUAACGGCUUAUCAAGGCGACGAUGCAUAGCCGACGUGAGAGAGUGAUCGCCCGCACUGGAAGUGAGACGCGGUCCAGAGUCCUACGGGAGGGCGCAGUAGGGUAUGUUACGCAGUGGGCGAGAGCCUGACAGAACAGCGCCACGUGAGAGGUGAAGGUCUUCGGAUCGUGAAACUCUGUUAUUGGGGAUAAACAGAUGUGUAAGUUGCUGUGCACAUCGUGACGGUAAUUAAUAAGAAAGCAACGGCUAACUACGUG
rnacentral:rRNA from 1 species